rnacentral:rRNA from 1 species
CCUACGGGAGGCAGCAGUGGGGAAUAUUGGGCAAUGGGCGCAAGCCUGACCCAGCAACGCCGCGUGAAGGAAGAAGGCUUUCGGGUUGUAAACUUCUUUUCUCAGGGACGAAGCAAGUGACGGUACCUGAGGAAUAAGCCACGGCUAACUACGUGCCAGCAGCCGCGGUAAUACGUAGGUGGCAAGCGUUAUCCGGAUUUACUGGGUGUAAAGGGCGUGUAGGCGGUAAAGCAAGUCAGAUGUGAAAACCAUGGGCUCAACCUGUGGCUUGCAUUUGAAACUGUUUUUCUUGAGUACUGGUGAGGCAGACGGAAUUCCUGGUGUAGCGGUGAAAUGCGUAGAGAUUAGGAGGAACACCAGUGGCGAAGGCGGUCUGCUGGACAGCAACUGACGCUGAGGCGCGAAAGCGUGGGGAGCAAACAGGAUUAGAUACCCUUGUAGUC